rnacentral:lncRNA from 1 species
GCUAAUAAAUAUGCAUAAUAUUAGUUGUUUUUUAAGUAAUUAAUACAUUUAAUUUAGUAAUUAUUUCUAUUUAGAAACAUUCUAAACAUAUUACUGCAUUAAAUAGUCCCGAGUCCAGAGUGUAUGAAUACUGUAGCUAGGCGCUAGUUUUGCUAGUUUUGCUGACAGGAGAAACUGAGGGGAAAAAGGGGGAAAGAGUUUAAACAAAACCUGUUUAAAAAGAGCAGCUGCUGUUUAGUGUGGAUGGAAGCUACAGCAUUGUGCUGAAGACCAGAUUUAAUGAGGACUGCGGUUGGGAAAACGAGGAGCGAGCUGUGAGUCUUCAUCACUGCAGUCCUGUGAUGGAGAAAAACACAUUUCUCAGGCGAACACAUAGAGUAAAGAUGGAAGAACAGACCAUGUGAUGCCUAAGCCCCGCCCCCACUUUAAUCAGAAGAGAAGACUCAGUGAGCUGCACAAUGAAUCU